rnacentral:rRNA from 1 species
AGUGUAGGCGGCUACGUAAGUCGGGUGUGAAAGCCCAGGGCCCAACCCUGGAACUGCAUCCGAUACUGUCAGGCUAGAGUCCCGGAGAGGGUGGCGGAAUUCCCGGUGUAGGGGUGAAAUCCGUAGAUAUCGGGAGGAACACCAGUGGCGAAGGCGGCCACCUGGACGGUGACUGACGCUGAGACUCGAAAGUGUGGGUAGCAAACAGGAUUAGAUACCCUGGUAGUCC